rnacentral:lncRNA from 1 species
GGAGAAAGUUGAAAACUAUUUUAGGGAUAGCAGAGUAUUAAUCACUAAAGGUAAGGAUUCUAAUUUCUAAACCAGAUUUAGAUUAAACUCACAAUCAUUUCUAUUAGAUGUAAUGCCUUGGUGAAUUGAAUUUGAGGGUGAAAUGUUGCCACCAAUCCAUUUUCUAAAAUUUCUGAAUUAUUCUAGUAAUAAGUUAGAUUUAUGUUGGCUGAAAUUAAAAUAGAUUAUGAAGAUGGAAAAUGAUAGAAAUACUAAAAAUUUUUG